rnacentral:rRNA from 1 species
UAGGGAAUCUUCCACAAUGGACGCAAGUCUGAUGGAGCAACGCCGCGUGAGUGAAGAAGGUUUUCGGACCGUAAAGCUCUGUUGUUGGUGAAGAAGGAUAGAGGUAGUAACUGGCCUUUAUUUGACGGUAAUCAACCAGAAAGUCACGGCUAACUACGUGCCAGCAGCCGCGGUAAUACGUAGGUGGCAAGCGUUGUCCGGAUUUAUUGGGCGUAAAGCGAGCGCAGGCGGAAGAAUAAGUCUGAUGUGAAAGCCCUCGGCUUAACCGAGGAAUUGCAUCGGAAACUGUUUUUCUUGAGUGCAGAAGAGGAGAGUAGAACUCCAUGUGUAGCGGUGGAAUGCGUAGAUAUAUGGAAGAAUACCAGUGGCGAAGGCGGCUCUCUGGUCUGCAACUGACGCUGAGGCUCGAAAGCAUGGGUAGCGAACAGGAUUAGAUACCCUUGGGUAGUCCAUGC